GCCUUUCUUCACAAAUGGUUUUUCCCUCACUCGUAAUGAGCAGGUCGUCGGUUCGAUUCCGACCAUUGGCUCCA
rnacentral:tRNA from 1 species